UGUGACAUUUUCUCUCCAGGAAGUGACUGGUGAGAAAAUACCAGGAGCCAUGAUGUAAUGGAAUCCACCUCGACGGGUCCCUUCAGCUUGUCGCAGGAACACAAGCUCUUCCUCUUCCUCUCGAGAUGCCUGUGGGUCCUUAGGUGCUUAACCUUAUGGUGAGCAGAAGGCAGAACGUCUAUAUCAGGACACCUGAUUGGCUGCCCGCUGAGUGUGCAAAACCCUGAUUGGCUCACCAGUGUGCGGCUCUCGAUGACCUGGUGCAGUAGGAUGAUGAGGAGGGCGGCGCUGUUGAUGGGCGAGCCGAAGGAGAGGACGCCAAUGUCAGAGCCGGCGUAGGC